CGUUCGGUCAGAUAUCGCACUGUCCUCUUCGAUAUCAGUCGACGAACCUGCGCGCAAGCAGCCUCUCGUCUCAAAACCAUGGACCUGGACCUCAGCGUGCUGUUCCACUGCGACUACUGCGGUGACAUUCUUAUAGUCUUCUAAGCAAGACAACUAUGGUCUUCGAACCACUUAUAGCACUCGCACUUUUUUUCGCCCUGCGGAUGACGUCCAAUUCGCCUCACUGAUGACCCUGCAUGGUUUAGGAUGAAGACGCCUAUCUCCCGGUCUGCGAACUGCUGUACCGAUAACACCUCGGGGCCUCGCUUCAAAGGUAGCCGUCAGGAAGACUGAAGAUGGUACCCAAAAAUAGUAUGUCGCUACAGAAUAGAAUGAAGAGUAGUAUGUCGCUACAGACCUUGUAAGGUGCCGUUAUACAAUACGUGUAUGAAAAAUGUUAGUCCCAAACUAAAACAAUUUCCUAAAUAAAAAGAAGUCAUCCUGACAAACAA